rnacentral:rRNA from 1 species
CUGACGAGCACGCCGCGUGAGUGAUGAAGGUCUUCGGAUCGUAAAACUCUGUUAUUAGGGAAGAACAAAUGUGUAAGUAACUAUGCACGUCUUGACGGUACCUAAUCAGAAAGCCACGGCUAACUACGUGCCAGCAGCCGCGGUAAUACGUAGGUGGCAAGCGUUAUCCGGAAUUAUUGGGCGUAAAGCGCGCGUAGGCGGUUUUUUAAGUCUGAUGUGAAAGCCCACGGCUCAACCGUGGAGGGUCAUUGGAAACUGGAAAACUUGAGUGCAGAAGAGGAAAGUGGAAUUCCAUGUGUAGCGGUGAAAUGCGCAGAGAUAUGGAGGAACACCAGUGGCGAAGGCGACUUUCUGGUCUGUAACUGACGCUGAUGUGCGAAAGCGUGGGGAUCAAACA